UACGUAGGGUGCAAGCGUUAAUCGGAAUUACUGGGCGUAAAGCGUGCGCAGGCGGCGACUUGUGUCAGGUGUGAAAUCCCCGGGCUUAACCUGGGAAUUGCGCUUGAAACUAGGUUGCUCGAGUUCAGUAGAGGGGGGUGGAAUUCCACGUGUAGCAGUGAAAUGCGUAGAGAUGUGGAGGAACACCAAUGGCGAAGGCAGCCCCCUGGGCUGAAACUGACGCUCAUGCACGAAAGCGUGGGGAGCAAACAGG
rnacentral:rRNA from 1 species